GCACAAGCAGCGGAGCGUGUGGUUUAAUUCGAUGCAACGCGAAGAACCUUACCAGGGUUUGACAUGCUUAAAGUAGGAACUCGAAAGAGGGACGACCUGUAUCCAGUCAGGAGUUUGCACAGGUGCUGCAUGGCUGUCGUCAGCUCGUGCCGUGAGGUGUUAGGUUAAGUCCUGCAACGAGCGCAACCCUCGUCGCUAGUUGUUUUCUCUAGCGAUACUGCCCGUAUAACGUGGAGGAAGGUGGGGAUGACGUCAAGUCAGCAUGGCCCUUACAUCCUGGGCUACACACACGCUACAAUGGGUGAUACAACAGGUUGCAAUAGAGUAAUCUGGAGCUAAUCCCUAAAAUCAUCCUCAGUACGGAUUGCAGGCUGAAACUGCCUGCAUGAAGUUGGAGUUGCUAGUAAACGCAGGUCAGCUAUACUGCGGUGAAUACGUUCCCGGGGCUU
rnacentral:rRNA from 1 species